rnacentral:rRNA from 1 species
UACGGGGGGAGCAAGCGUUGUUCGGAUUUACUGGGCGUAAAGGGCGCGUAGGCGGCCACCGCAAGUCGACUGUGAAAUCUCCGGGCUUAACCCGGAAAGGUCAGCCGAUACUGCGGGGCUAGAGUGCAGAAGGGGCAACUGGAAUUCUCGGUGUAGCGGUGAAAUGCGUAGAUAUCGAGAGGAACACCUGCGGCGAAGGCGGGUUGCUGGGGCUGACACUGACGCUGAAGCGCGAAAGCUAGGGGGAGCGAACGGG